rnacentral:rRNA from 1 species
CAGUCGCCGCGGGAAUACGAAGGGGGCUAGCGUUGUUCGGAUUUACUGGGCGUAAAGCGCACGUAGGCGGAUCGAUCAGUCAGGGGUGAAAUCCCAGAGCUCAACUCUGGAACUGCCUUUGAUACUGUCGAUCUGGAGUAUGGAAGAGGUGAGUGGAAUUCCGAGUGUAGAGGUGAAAUUCGUAGAUAUUCGGAGGAACACCAGUGGCGAAGGCGGCUCACUGGUCCAUUACUGACGCUGAGGUGCGAAAGCGUGGGGAGCAAACAGGAUUAGAUACCCCCGUAGUCCCUGUCUCUUAUAC